rnacentral:ncRNA from 7 species
UAAUCCUUGCUACCUGGGUGAGAGU